UGUGCCAGCAGUCGCGGUAAGACAUGGAAGACAAGCGUUAUUCAUCUUUAUUAGGUUUAAAGGGUACUCAGACAGUUAAUUAAGCCUGCACAAGGGACUGAUUAUACUAGAGUUUGAUAGGAGAAGGCUAGAACGGUUAGUGUAGAGAUAAAAUAUGUUGAUACAACCUUGAUACUGACAACAGCGAAGGCAACCUUUUAUGUAAAAACUGACGUUAAAGGACGAAGGCUAUAAAUAAACAACAGGAUUAGGUACCCUAGUAUUAGUGGCAGUCAAUGAUGAAUGUAAUAGGUAAGUAAUAUAGUUUACCUAUAAAUGAAAAUGUAAACAUUCCACCUUAAGAGUAAAAUGGCAACGUAGGAACUGAAAUCAUUAGACCGUUUCUGAAACCAGUAGUGAAGUAUGUUAGUUAAAUUGAUGAUCCACAAAGAACCUUACCACAACUUGAAUGUUAAUUCACAGGAGUUGCACGGCUGUCUUCAGUUGAUAUCGUGAGAUUUUGGUUAGUUCCAUUAAAUCAACGUAAACCCUUACUUUAAUUUAUACAUAAAGUAGUUCGCCGUUAUAUUGGAUAUGAUAAUAGGGACUAAGACAAGUCAUCAUGACCUAAAAUGUUGUGGGCUAUAG
rnacentral:rRNA from 1 species